rnacentral:rRNA from 1 species
AGCUUGGCGUUGGUUGUCCAAGUUUAAGGUGGUAGGCUGAAAUCUUAGGUAAAUCCGGGGUUUCAAGGCCGAGAGCUGAUGACGAGUCGUCUUUUAGAUGACGAAGUGGUUGAUGCCAUGCUUCCAAGAAAAGCUUCUAAGCUUCAGGUAACCAGGAACCGUACCCCAAACCGACACAGGUGGUCGGGUAGAGAAUACCAAGGCGCUUGAGAGAACUCGGGUGAAGGAACUAGGCAAAAUGGCACCGUAACUUCGGGAGAAGGUGCGCCGGCUAGGGUGAAGGAUUUACUCCGUAAGCUCUGGCUGGUCGAAGAUACCAGGCCGCUGCGACUGUUUAUUAAAAACACAGCACUCUGCAAACACGAAAGUGGACGUAUAGGGUGUGACGCCUGCCCGGUGCCGGAAGGUUAAUUGAUGGGGUUAGCGCAAGCGAAGCUCUUGAUCGAAGCCCCGGUAAACGGCGGCCGUAACUAUAACGGUCCUAAGGUAGCGAAAUUCCUUGUCGGGUAAGUUCCGACCUGCACGAAUGGCGUAACGAUGGCGGCGCUGUCUCCACCCGAGACUCAGUGAAAUUGAAAUCGCUGUGAAGAUGCAGUGUAUCCGCGGCUAGACGGAAAGACCCCGUGAACCUUUACUGUAGCUUUGCACUGGACUUUGAGCCUGCUUGUGUAGGAUAGGUGGGAGGCUUUGAAGCGUGGACGCCAGUUCGCGUGGAGCCAUCCUUGAAAUACCACCCUGGCAUGCUUGAGGUUCUAACUCUGGUCCGUGAUCCGGAUCGAGGACAGUGUAUGGUGGGCAGUUUGACUGGGGCGGUCUCCUCCUAAAGAGUAACGGAGGAGUACGAAGGUGCGCUCAGACCGGUCGGAAAUCGGUCGCAGAGUAUAAAGGCAAAAGCGCGCUUGACUGCGAGACAGACACGUCGAGCAGGUACGAAAGUAGGUCUUAGUGAUCCGGUGGUUCUGUAUGGAAGGGCCAUCGCUCAACGGAUAAAAGGUACUCCGGGGAUAACAGGCUGAUACCGCCCAAGAGUUCAUAUCGACGGCGGUGUUUGGCACCUCGAUGUCGGCUCAUCACAUCCUGGGGCUGAAGCCGGUCCCAAGGGUAUGGCUGUUCGCCAUUUAAAGUGGUACGCGAGCUGGGUUUAGAACGUCGUGAGACAGUUCGGUCCCUAUCUGCCGUGGACGUUUGAGAUUUGAGAGGGGCUGCUCCUAGUACGAGAGGACCGGAGUGGACGAACCUCUGGUGUUCCGGUUGUCACGCCAGUGGCAUUGCCGGGUAGCUAUGUUCGGAAAAGAUAACCGCUGAAAGCAUCUAAGCGGGAAACUUGCCUCAAGAUGAGAUCUCACUGGGAACUUGAUUCCCCUGAAGGGCCGUCGAAGACUACGACGUUGAUAGGCUGGGUGUGUAAGCGUUGUGAGGCGUUGAGCUAACCAGUACUAAUUGCCCGUGAGGCUUGACCAU